UCCGUAGGUGGAUAAUUAAGUCAGAGGUGAAAUCCUGCAGCUCAACUGUAGAAUUGCCUUUGAUACUGGUUAUCUUGAGUCAUUAUGAAGUGGUUAGAAUGUGUAGUGUAGCGGUGAAAUGCAUAGAUAUUACACAGAAUACCGAUUGCGAAGGCAGAUCACUAAUAAUGUACUGACACUGAUGGACGAAAGCGUGGGGAGCGAACAGGAUUAGAUACCCUGGUAGCC
rnacentral:rRNA from 1 species